CUGGCUGGAAGGUACCCUGCAAGGCAAUGUCUCUGAAGUAUGAUAGCCAGGUAGAAGUUGUGGGAAUGGAUGGUUCUAUCCAUAACUUCAAA